rnacentral:rRNA from 1 species
AGUGAACGCUGGCGGUAGGCCUAACACAUGCAAGUCGAACGGCAGCACAGUAAGCGCUUGCUCUUACGGGUGGCGAGUGGCGGACGGGUGAGGAAUACAUCGGAAUCUACUUUUUCGUGGGGGAUAACGUAGGGACACUUACGCUAAUACCGCAUACGACCUACGGGUGAAAGCAGGGGAUCUUCGGACCUUUCGCGAUUGAAUGAGCCGAGGUCGGAUUAGCUAGUUGGCGGGGUAAAGGCCCACCAAGGCGACGAUCCGUAGCUGGUCUGAGAGGAUGAUCAGCCACACUGGAACUGAGACACGGUCCAGACUCCUACGGGAGGCAGCAGUGGGGAAUAUUGGACAAUGGGCGCAAGCCUGAUCCAGCCAUACCGCGUGGGUGAAGAAGGCCUUCGGGUUGUAAAGCCCUUUUGUUGGGAAAGAAAAGCAGCAGGUUAAUACCCCGCUGUUCUGACGGUACCCAAAGAAUAAGCACCGGCUAACUUCGUG